AUUGAACGCUAGCGGGAUGCCUUACACAUGCAAGUCGAACGGAGUGGCGAACGGGUGAGUAAUGUAUCGGAACGUGCCCAGUAGCGGGGGAUAACUACGCGAAAGCGUAGCUAAUACCGCAUACUAUUGGAGCGGCCGAGAUCGGGUUAGCUAGUUGGUGGGGUAACGGCUCACCAAGGCGACGAUCCGUAGCGGGUUGGAGAGGACGACCAGCCAAACUGGGAUGGAAAAACGGCCCAGACUCCAACGGAGGGAAGAGGUGGGAAAUUUUGGACAAGGGGGGAAGCCCGGAUCCAGCCAGCCCGGGUGGUCGAGAAGGGCCUUCGGGUUGUAAAGCACUUUGGGCAGGAAAGCGGUACCUGCAGAAUAAGCACCGGCUAACUACGUGCCAGCAGCCGCGUAAUAC
rnacentral:rRNA from 1 species